rnacentral:misc_RNA from 1 species
AAGAUCCUGCACAUAAGUGGGGUGGACUGGGUGAGGUUCUGGGUGGUAACGAACUCAUUGACAGCCAGAUUGAAAUCAAGUUCCAAAAAAAUGUUGACAAGGGGUCUAUUUGUACACUUGAGCUUGAUGCUACCAAGGUAAAACAGUUCAAGGAGGCAAUAGAGAAGUCAUACUGGUUUGAACUCUUCAUCGAUGAUUUACCUUUGUGGGGUUUUGUUGGGGAGACUGAUAAAAAUAAUGAAAACAAGCAUUAUCUCUUCACGCACAAGGAUAUUGUUAUACAGUACAAUGGUAAUCAGAUUAUUCAUGUCAACCUGACUCAAGAGUCCCCUAAACUCUUGGAGGCGGGGAAAGCUUUAGAGAUGACAUACUCAGUCAAGUGGAUUCCAACAGAUGUAACAUUUGCACACCGAUUUG